GGAUGAACGCUGGCGGCGUGCCUAAUACAUGCAAGUCGAGCGGUAAGGCCCCUUCGGGGGUACACGAGCGGCGGACGGCUGAGUAACGCGUAGGAACGUACCCCAAAGUGAGGGAUAAGCACCAGAAAUGGUGUCUAAUACCGCAUGUGGUCUUCGGAUUAAAGCUUCGGCGCUUUGGGAACGGCCUGCGUAUGAUUAGAUUGUUGGUGAGGUAACGGCUCACCAAGUCGACGAUCAUUAGCUGGUCUGAGAGGAUGAUCAGCCAGACUGGAACUGAGAACGGUCCAGACUCCUACGGGAGGCAGCAGUAGGGAAUUUUCCACAAUGGACGAAAGUCUGAUGGAGCAACGCCGCGUGCAGGAUGAAGGCCCUUGGGUUGUAAACUGCUUUUAUUUGUGACGAAUAUGACGGUAGCAAAUGAAUAAGGAUCGGCUAACUCCGUGCCAGCAGCCGCGGUCAUACGGAGGAUCCAAGCGUUAUCCGGAAUUACUGGGCGUAAAGAGUUGCGUAGGUGGCAUAGUAAGUAGAUAGUGAAAGCGUGGGGCUCAACCUCAUAAACAUUAUCUAAACUGCUAAGCUAGAGGGCGAGAGAGGUAACUAGAAUUCCUUGUGUAGGAGUGAAAUCCGUAGAUAUAAGGAGGAAUACCGAUGGCGUAGGCAGGUUACUGGCUCGUCCCUGACACUAAGGCACGAAAGUGUGGGGAGCAAACGGGAUUAGAUACCCCGGUAGUCCACGCCGUAAACGAUGGAUGCUAGCUGUUAGAAGUAUCGACCCUUCUAGUAGCGAAGCUAACGCGUUAAGCAUCCCGCCUGUGGAGUACGGUCGCAGGACUAAAACAUAAAGGAAUUGACGGGGACCCGCACAAGCGGUGGAGCGUGUUCUUUAAUUCGAAGGUAAGCGAAGAACCUUACCAGGGUUUGACAUCCCGGUGCAAUUUCCGAAAGGAAACUUCAUUUAGUUGGUCGGUGACAGGUGUUGCAUGGCCGUCGUCAGCUCGUGUCGUGAGAUGUUUGGUUAAGUCCAUCAACGAGCGCAACCCUUUUAUUCAGUUGGAUUUUUCUGAAUAUACUGCCCCGGUAACGGGGAGGAAGGAGGGGAUGAUGUCAGGUCAGUAUUACCCUUACACCCUGGGCUAGAAACACGCUACAAUGGCCGGUACAAAGGGCAGCCAAAGCGCAAGCUGGAGCAAAUCCCAUCAAAGCCGGUCCCAGUUCGGAUAGCAGGCUGAAACUCGCCUGCUUGAAGUUGGAAUCGCUAGUAACGGUAGGUCAGCACACUACCGUGAAUACGUUCCCGGGUC
rnacentral:rRNA from 1 species